GCCGGGAUAGGGCAGC
rnacentral:tRNA from 1 species